rnacentral:rRNA from 1 species
UGGGGAAUAUUGCACAAUGGGCGAAAGCCUGAUGCAGCAACGCCGCGUGAGUGAUGAAGGUCUUCGGAUUGUAAAGCUCUGUCUUUUGGGACGAUAAUGACGGUACCAAAGGAGGAAGCCACGGCUAACUACGUGCCAGCAGCCGCGGUAAUACGUAGGUGGCGAGCGUUGUCCGGAUUUACUGGGCGUAAAGGGUGCGUAGGCGGAUGUUUAAGUGAGAUGUGAAAUACCCGGGCUUAACUUGGGUGCUGCAUUUCAAACUGGACAUCUAGAGUGCAGGAGAGGAGAAUGGAAUUCCUAGUGUAGCGGUGAAAUGCGUAGAGAUUAGGAAGAACACCAGUGGCGAAGGCGAUUCUCUGGACUGUAACUGACGCUGAGGCACGAAAG